rfam:Drosophila persimilis strain MSH-3 cont1.010016, whole genome shotgun sequence.
CGUGCUGCAGUUUCAUUUUGUGACCGACACUAACGGGUAAUGGCUGGCCGCAGGACUACUCGUUUUUGCGAUCACAAUACUGAAAUUGCAGCAA